rnacentral:rRNA from 1 species
GACGGAGGAUGCAAGCGUCAUCCGGAAUUAUUGGGCGUAAAGCGUCCGCAGGUGGCUGUUCAAGUCUGCUGUCAAAGCGCAGAGCUUAACUCUGUACAGGCGGUGGAAACUGAAGAGCUAGAGUAUGGUAGGGGUAGAGGGAAUUCCCGGUGUAGCGGUGAAAUGCGUAGAUAUCGGGAAGAACACCAGUGGCGAAAGCGCUCUACUGGGCCAUAACUGACACUGAGGGACGAAAGCUAGGGGAGCGAAAGGG